AAAACAGAACAUAAAAUAUAAUCGAGCGAUUUUCAAUUGUGGGCAAACUAUACGAUAAGGCACGUUUUUUAUUUGUUAGAAUUUAAAUCUUUCAAAUUUAGCACUAUUUCUAUAACAUGUAUAUUUAUAUACAGCCCGUGAUACUGUUUAUUGCUUAUAUCAUCUUUCAAUAUGUGAACUGCGCUGUUCCCAUUGAUAUAGAAAUAUACAAAGUGAAAGCUGAUGCAGCGAAAAAAGAGCCAAAGUUCUUUACAAUGAUUCCAGAUAAAAAGCCGUUGAUCUCUAGGCGUCAGAGUGGUGAAGUGGAAAAUUUUAGAGAGGACGAUAUGAGAGUAGAGUUAGAGACAACAACAAGCAAGAUGUGAUUGAGCAAUAAUUUUUACUUUACAUGUCUUAGCUACUAGAAAUGAAACAGUUACUAAAAUAUAUAAUAUGUCAUACAGAGAUAUGAUACGAAAGCAGUUUUAAGGACUUAAAAUAAACGUCAUGAAUUAAAACUUCUGAGAUUUUCCUCUUGAUAGUCCAAAAUUAUCUCCAGUGUGGAAUAUUUUGCGCAAAACCAGAGUUUUAUAUUUGAAUGGAGGUAAAUAUUUAAACGACAUGUUUAUUUUAUUUAGGUUCCAAUAUUUAAAUUACUGAGGCGAAACCUCUUAGCAUUCAAUGGAUUCACCGUGCGGGUGCCGGGUUCAUCGUGUUGCAGGGAGAGGAGCUUCAAGAGUGCCUGGGACUUGCGACCCAAGUGUAAGUUUAAGGAGCCUCUAACUAACGUGCGUUAAACGCUCACCUCCACUGUCCAAGCUCCUCUCCCUACCUAUUCAUAUUUGAAAAGAACCUACUAGGGCUGACAUCGAAGUACGUUCCAAGAAUGAAUUGAUGUAAGUUCUGGUCAGGGUCUAGACUUUUAGUAGGUUCUAGAGAUAUUUAGCCGUUAUACCUCUCGCUCCCACUUCUACCGCGUAUAAAUCCACGACGCACCUAUUUCGAGUGAAUAAAUAAAUAAAUUCAUAACAAUUAAAUCAAACUAAUAUAUUUCGGAUACAC